rnacentral:rRNA from 1 species
AUGCCGCCAGGAGGUAGCGGAGGCGAGCACGGCUACGGGGAGCCGGCAGCCGCCCGCGGAGGCCGGGACGAGGAAGAUCCAUCCCGUUCUUCGCAUCCGCCGCCGUCGCCGUUGCCGCCUGGCCUCGCCGUCAUUCCCAUGGCAUCUGAGAUGGAGAAGGAGAAGGAACUGAAGAAUGUGCGGCAGGAGGAGGAGGUUCCCGCGGCGAGCUUUCCGGCGGACGCUCUCAUGGAGAUCCUGUCACGCGUGCCCUGCAGGCCGCUGUGCCGCUUCAAGUGUGUGUCCAAAGAGUGGCUCGCCCUCUGCUCCUACUCCCACACCCGCAAGAUGUCGCUGCAGACCAUGUCCGGCUUCUUCUACAAUGAUCACGGCUUGCGUUUCCACAAUUUGUCCGGAAAAGGUCCUCCCAUGGUCGACCCCGACCUCUCUUUCUUGCGCAGCAGCUAUAAGCAUUUCUGUGUCACGCAAUGCAGCACCAGCCUUCUCCUUUGCUAGUGCUGGAAAGUUCCCUAUCCUAAGCAGCUCGGUUGGAAUUCUCUUCCCAAAGGAAAAACCGAGCAAUUUUUUGAAUGGCCCGAGGCUGACGAAUUCGAUUACGUUGUCUGCAAUCCUGCCACUCAGGAGUGGACUUCGUUGCCUCCUAUAGAAUUGCCUGAUCACCUUCCGCUUUUCCGCCCAGGCAAAUACUUUUUAGGUUUUGACGCGGCCAUUCCUUCCCGCUUCGUCGUGUUUGUGCCCCUGAACUCAUCUCAGACAUAUGGCCUGUCCGCGGACAUGGUCUACUCAUCAGAUACAGGAGGAUGGACUUUAACAGAGCACAAUGAUUUCAGUACAUAUUCAAUUAGUUAUUUUGAAAGCACCUUCCUGAAUAACACUAUGCAUUUCCCUACUCGUUAUUCGGAAAUAGUCACAGUGGAUAUGGAAAGGAAAGAUUGGAGGAAAAUUAAAAUGCCACGUGGCAUGACAAAUGAAUAUGGCGAUGUUUCCAUUGGGAAGUCCCAGGGACGCUUGUUUGCUUGGCAUAUAAAGGAUCAAGGUGAUUAUCAACUCUCUAUUUGGGUUCUUGAAAAUUAUGACAGCGGAAAGUGGACCUUAAAGUGUACUGUUAGCUGUUCCAAACUGUUUGGAACGGAUUGUCGCGAAAAUUACGAGUCCUACUCCAUGUUCGCAAUUCAUCCAGAAUGUAAUUUGAUUUUCCUUACUGACAAUAAGAAGAAGACAUUGUCAUAUGAUAUGGAUAAUCAGGAAGUGCAUAUUAUCUGUGCUACUGGAGAUUUCUUGGAAGGUCUACCUUACACUCCCUCUUUUGUGGAAUGGACAUCAGAUGGUCACUAA